UACGUAGGGGGCAAGCGUUGUUCGGAUUUAUUGGGCGUAAAGAGCUCGUAGGCGGUUUGUCGCGUCGGCCGUGAAAUCUCCACGCUUAACGUGGAGCGUGCGGUCGAUACGGGCAGACUUGAGUUCGGUAGGGGAGACUGGAAUUCCUAGUGUAGCGGUGAAAUGCGCAGAUAUCAGGAGGAACACCGGUGGCGAAGGCGGGUCUCUGGGCCGAUACUGACGCUGAGGAGCGAAAGCGUGGGGAGCGAACAGG
rnacentral:rRNA from 1 species